CCAGUCUAACCAAUGUUGGUCUCUCUUCUGAUUAAGAUCUGAUGUUAUAAUGGGAGGUCCUUUCUGUAGAGCAAUGCCUUUAACCUCCCACCUCCUAUUAUAAAAAGCAGCCUCAGACAUUCAUCAGGUCUGCUGUGGCUGCGUCUCAUGUUGACAGGAUCACUAUUAUGACUCAAGUUCUCAUUACAUUUGUAGUCUCGUCUCUGUGGCUUCAAGGUCAGUGCCAGGAUGUCACCCAACACCCUGAAAUCAGUUGGAGUUAUGUUUCCCAAUCUGCAGAGAUGAACUGCAGCCACAACAAAGAUAUUUCUCA